rnacentral:rRNA from 1 species
AUUGAACGCUGGCGGCAUGCUUUACACAUGCAAGUCGAACGGUAACAGCACUUCGGUGGCUGACGAGUGGCGAACGGGUGAGUAAUACAUCGGAACGUGCCUAGUAGUGGAGGAUAACUACUCGAAAGAGUAGCUAAUACCGCAUGAGAUCUAAGGAUGAAAGCAGGGGACCUUCGGGCCUUGCGCUACUAGAGCGGCUGAUGGCAGAUUAGGUAGUUGGUGGGAUAAAAGCUUACCAAGCCGACGAUCUGUAGCUGGUCUGAGAGGACGACCAGCCACACUGGGACUGAGACACGGCCCAGACUCCUACGGGAGGCAGCAGUGGGGAAUUUUGGACAAUGGGCGCAAGCCUGAUCCAGCAAUGCCGCGUGCAGGAUGAAGGCCUUCGGGUUGUAAACUGCUUUUGUACGGAACGAAAAGCCCUCUUCUAAUACAGGAGGGUCAUGACGGUACCGUAAGAAUAAGCACCGGCUAACUACGUG